UGGGGAAUAUUGGACAAUGGGCGAAAGCCUGAUCCAGCCAUGCCGCGUGUGUGAAGAAGGCCUUAUGGUUGUAAAGCACUUUAAGCGAGGAGGAGGGUACUGGUAUUAAUACUACCAGCUACUGGACGUUACUCGCAGAAUAAGCACCGGCUAACUCUGUGCCAGCAGCCGCGGUAAUACAGAGGGUGCAAGCGUUAAUCGGAUUUACUGGGCGUAAAGCGCGCGUAGGCGGCUAAUUAAGUCAAAUGUGAAAUCCCCGAGCUUAACUUGGGAAUUGCAUUCGAUACUGGUUAGCUAGAGUGUGGGAGAGGAUGGUAGAAUUCCAGGUGUAGCGGUGAAAUGCGUAGAGAUCUGGAGGAAUACCGAUGGCGAAGGCAGCCAUCUGGCCUAACACUGACGCUGAGGUGCGAAAGCAUGGGGAGCAAACAGG
rnacentral:rRNA from 1 species